rnacentral:rRNA from 1 species
GACGAACGCUGGCGGCGUGCUUAACACAUGCAAGUCGAACGGCAAGGCCCUGCUUUUGUGGGGUGCUCGAGUGGCGAACGGGUGAGUAACACGUGAGUAACCUGCCCUUGACUUUGGGAUAACUUCAGGAAACUGGGGCUACUACCGUAUAGGAGCUCCUGCUGCAUGGUGGGCGUUGGAAAGUUUCGGCGGUUGGGGAUGGACUCGCGGCUUAUGAGCUUGUUGGUGGGGUAGUGGCUUACCAAGGCUUUGACGGGUAGCCGGCCUGAGAGGGUGACCGGCGACAAUGGGACUGAGGGACGGAGCAGACGGCAACGGGAGGCAGCGGUGGGGAAUAUUGCACAGUGGGAGGAAGCGUGAGGAGGAAACGCCGAGUGCGGGAUGACGGCCUUCGGGUUGUAAAACGCUGUCGCCUGUGACGAAGCGUGAGUGACGGUAAUGGGUAAAGAAGCACCGGCUAACUACGUG